GAACCGCCCCCUAAGUUUUGCACCUGUAGCAGUUUUGGCCCCCUAAGGCCAAUUUUUGGUAAAAAAAAUUACAUGUGGCACCUCACUUAGGGUGCCACGUCAGCGUAGACCGAGUCAAAAUUGGCAUUGGGGGCCAAAACUGCCACAGAUGCAAAACUUAGGGGGCGGUUU
rnacentral:pre_miRNA from 1 species